UUCCCUCAUAAAUUUCUGGUAGGUCUUGUUGCUGCUAAUUACUGGAGAUCUCAGCACAAGAGCUUUUCUUUCUAGCAAACCAGCCUCUCAUGUUUCCUGUCCUUGAGUUAAUCAGUGAUAAUCUCCUGCUCUGUUUGUUUAUUUAACUUUUAAAAAGCUAAUUGACUGUUUGUGACAUGAGUCGGCCUGAGACUACGAAAGCAAAGUUUCUUUGCGUGUACCCGCGGAGCAGACGGCGGGUGGGCUCCGGGAAUGCCCGCAGCUCGCCGCCGCGUCCUCCAGAUGUUCCUUUCCCGAUGGCCGCCGACCACCGACGCUCACGGAGGGUGGGUUCAGCCCAGCCUGCCGGCUCUGUCCCGCCGUGCCCGCCCCGUGCCUUCCAGGGAGGCUGUUUUCCCGGGGAGGCGGCCGGUCGGCGGGGCUGGCCGGCAGCCCGGCCCGCGCAGGUAGGGCAGGGGCAGCUGCCAGGGCCGAUGACUCGCAGCCUUGCCCAACCGGGGCAGAACCCCAGCUGGCGAGGGUGGGCCGGGAUCACGUAAGGCAGGGCCGCGCGCGGGAGCCACCGCGAGCCCGACCCUCUGAUUCUUCUGGAGGGGCUGGAGGAGCAGAUUAGAAAGGAAAAACGCGGAGGAGCUUUCUUGCAACUUCACUCGUGUCUCUCUAUUAAUUGAUGUCUGUGGUGGGAGUGGUGGGCUUGUGUCCCCUCUUGCUCCGCUGACCCCACGUCCCCUCCCUGGCACCGACGUGCUCUUUGGAAAGGCCAGGCACCUAUGUCUUGCUGUGAACGCGUAGCGCGGGACAGGAGCUGCACCCACAGCUCCUGACUCCCCCGCGCCCUGCUGUCGGACGUCGCAAGAUGCAAACCAGCACGUAAGGCUGUCAGGGCUUCUCCGCAGUCGGUACUGUUUAACUUACGUAGUACCCAUGUCUUCAGCCCCAGCACCAGGAGGUCUCUCCUCGGCGUGUGCUCCCCCGUGGCCGCUGCCUCUGCAGGCGGCAUCUCUGGUGGGGCAGCCUGGCGUGCGCGGGGCCGGGGCUCCUACGAGCCGCUCGCUUGGGGUCUUACUAAUGGCCUGUUGGACCCCCCGAGCGAGGUUAGGGACGGCUUUUCUUAAAGGCUGUAUUUAACUGAUUGCAAGUGAGGCUUUUUUGACCACGUGGUUUUUGCCUUGACCAUGCAAAAAUAACUAAGCCGCACUGAAUUUUUCUUUCUUUCUUUCCUCCAUUUAAAAUGGGUCCGUAGAUCACAUCAGACUUUGGCACCAUUAUAGUUUUCUGUGGCGUCACAUGGCUACAGGCUCAAAGGAUAUGGCCAGUGCAGAAAUCCUCCUGCCUAAGGGGAGCUUCUGAAAGGCUGGGUCUGCUGCAAGGUAGCUUAGUCAUGCUCAUGCAUGCGUAUUAUUGCUAUGAAAGAGAUUGUUUUGUUUGUUUUUUUUUUAACUAUGUGCUCCUGGGAUUGUAUUUCAGCAUCAGAGGAACAGGCUGUAAUGCUAAGACUCUUCAGAAGGUCCCACUUGAGUUCCCGGUAUGACAAAACUACCAUUUAACCUCAAGCCGUCAAGCAUGAGGCACACUCUGUUUCUAAAGUGAUUUCAGACAUUAUGCACAGUUCUAUAAAAAUGCAAAAGGGGGCUGCUGUAUUACCUCCCCUAGUUCAGGAGGUCUGGAGGAAUCAGUUCAUCGUUUAUUACCAAAAAAGCACUUCCUUAAAGCUGUGGCUGCCGCAUCUUCCUUUGCAGCAGGCUCUUUAUUUUUGUGCUUGUAACAUUGCAGUUUAUUUCUGUGGCAACAGCUAUAAUGUGAUAAUUCACAUCCAUAAUCACAGGUCAGCCUGUGAUGAUCAUUUUGAAAAAAUGAUCUGGGUCCAGCUGAAAUAGCAAACUAUUAAAAAAAUAUUAAAAAUCAAGUUAAUUUCUUGGGUAUUAAAUCAUGAGAUAUUGAGCUGAGCAUACGAUUUUUCUCCUGUCACUGCAGAAAAGUUGCCUGCCGUACCGAGGGGUAAGCCUGCGUGAGCACGCUGGAGAGCUGAGACUGCGGAUGAGGGAACACACAGGCACUCUCAUUUGUAUUUUACUUACGCUUCGCCAAUGUUGUUCUGUUUUCCCUUCCUUGAGGACUCCAAUUACUCAUGUACUGUUUUCCUUCAUUCCACUAAGUGAUGCACAAAUUGUUUCCACAUUCCAGGUUAGUUUCUGACGUCGCUCUCUUCUGUUUACGUGUGGGUAAUGAAGAUGCUGCCCUGCUCUUCAGGAAAUGAGUAGGCUGCCUGACUCCAGCCUGAGCCGAAGGACAGAAGCCACAUCUAGAUCUGUGGAAUCACUAUGGCUUAUCACUAGCCCUGAAUUGGGAUUGGCCCCAGCAUCACCAGUUUUUCAGUGGUUUUGAACAUAUUCUAUCUUUCACAUGUGUCCAAAAUCUCGACGCUGUCCUUCACUGAGAAGUUUAGGACGUAACGUGGGCUCCGCUGGGACGAACAAUGUGUGCCAUCACUGAGGAACUAAGGGGAAAAUGCCGUUCCCUUGGUUCAAAUUCCAAGCCAGCCACAGGGUGUCUUUCCUAGUUCUGUCUGCUGUGGGUUUUGCUUGCUUUAAAUUUUUUUAGAACAUAAUAAGCUUUUUAUUUUCUUGUGCAUACACACACGUUCUCGUGUUUAAUUAAAUAAAUGAGAAUCCUGCUUGUAUGAUGAGAUUCGCCUACAGAGGGUGUAUAGGACCCACGCUUGUCUGGUGUUCAACACCAUGCCUUGAUUCGAAUGAUCCUCUGUUUUGAUGAGUUGAUUAAAUCUAUUUUAGCUGAAUACUUAGCAGAAGUAAGGCUACUGGUAAUAUAAAAUGAGCUAAGAAAAAUCCUGUACGUAUGUUUUCCUGAAAAUCUUAUAUUUCCUCCAUAAAUAGAAGAAAGCCAGCACUGAGAGAACACAGCAGGCUAUCAGAGAGGUCAGUUUGGCCGGUGUAGAAAUUGUUCUUCAGAUGCUAUGAUUUUCCAUGAAUUAUUGACUGCAUAACCACGCUGAGAAGUCAAGACUCCUUUGAGAAAGGCCAAAUUCCAGAACAAGAAGCCUGACAUCCAAUAAUGCAAGCAUGGGCUCGCCUUGGCUCUGUGUUCCCUUGCCAAAGGGUGGUGAGAGGUCUCUUCCCGGCCCCUGGACACUCCUAGUAGAUGACCUUCAGCUCAGCUGGCCUGGGUCUGCCUGCUCUUUGUGUGCGCUCUUCCUGCCGUGGUGCUCACCUACACUGAUAUAAACACUUCCCAGGAUUAUCACCUCCGGUUUCUGCAGAUGGACGUUUGUUUCGGGAAACAAGUGGAAGAGCCACGUACUGCCAGGCAGCACCUCGCCGCCAGACCGACCCCGCAGCCCCAGUGCGGCAGGAGGAGGCUCGCCAGACAGGGCUUGUGGGAGAGGUGGGUCCGCUCUCCUGAUGGGCAGGAAGGAGGAACCGAGGGGGAAGAGGAGGCAUCUGGCAGCACAAACUGACUCAAGGGGAUGUCUGGACUAAACUGUAGGCAAGAGAAGUUAAACCACAACUCUCCCACCAAGCGGAGGGGACAUCCCAGUCCUGGAAGAAGCUGGUGCUGGAAUGCAGAAGGGGGUGGGCAAACCCAAGACACUGAGGCAUCAAACGCACCGAACGGAGGUGAUAAAAGAAGCCCUAAAUCAUCAAAUAGAAACUUCAAGUUUGAAAAUCUUGUGUUAAUUUUUUUUUUUUUUUAGUAUUCCCUAUAUACUCUUUUCUUCUUUUUCGGUUUGAAAGAACCAAAGAAACUAAAAUCUAAAAAAAAAAAAAAACCUGGCUUGGGCAGAAUGCAGAGCCAAGGCCAGGUUUCCAGAAGAAUGUGUCAGUAAGAAAGAAACCUAUAGCUAAUAACCAACAUGCCUUGAGUUGUUAUCAUUAAGAUAUCUUGAAUAAACUCUGUAUUGUGUAUUUCCUGAAAAGCAUGACCAAAAACUCAUUGAGACCAUAGAUCUCCUAGUAACUUAUGGCUAAAAGCCCAACUAAUGCUUUAUACCUCUUUUUGAUUUGUAUCCAAAAGGAUUUGUUUGGUUGGUUUUAUUCAUUCCUUACAAAACAACAAAAAACAGUGAACUUAAUGGGGUUUGGAAUACAGAAUUCAUUUUUCAUUUGUUAGAGAGCACUUCCUCCAGACUGUACAGAAAUUGUUUCCCAGCAUAGAAAAAUCUGUACUGAUGUGGCUCAGAUUUAAAAUUUAGUAAUGUAAUUCCUCUACUGGGGACAUUCUGAAUUUCUUUAGGGCAGUGAGUCAUUCUGGUGGUGGCACCAAACUGAACGUAUUUAUGUUGAAUGGCAAAACAACAACAAAAACUUUCCCAAAUUUGAAAAUAUCACUGAAAAAGAAUAAAAGCACAAUUGUCUUCAGCCAUUAUGGCUGCCCUAAUUUGAAUCACAUGGGAAAAUGCUUUGUUAAUGGCUUUCUUCUUUUACUCUUCAUUGGCAACAAACCAAACCAAACCCCUUUCUUUGUUCUUUUUUCCUUUAUGCAUUACUUUUCCAUCUGGUUUUAGAAGCUGGUCCUGUGGGUUAGCAAUUAUGUUGAAAUACUAGAGAUCUGGGGUCAUUUCCACAGACUUCCUGAAUAACCAUGGACUGACCACUUUACCUCCACUACUCUUCUGUAAAAUGGGAGUAAUUCCACUCCUCCUGAAGCUGUUGCUAGAAAAUCUAUGUAUUGCUGCAAGGUGCCCAACCAUAUCACUGGAAUGUUCAAGGAAGGCACCAGCACAAGAGUUGAAGAGCUCUCCCUUGCUCCAGAAAAGCCUCAGACAGAGACCUCUCCUGGGAACACCAGCAAUUCUCCUGCCUUUUGUGGAUUUAAAAUCGCACUCCGCACGUUCUGAGUGACCGCCUAACUCCUGAGGUACGGGAUGAAUGGAGCGUUGCCCCCUUCCUGGCCGCGAGCUGGAGCACAGCACCAGGCACUGCAGCACGUUGUACCCAGGCGGUCUCAGCAGUGGCCAGAGUGGGGUCACCCAGCGAGCCACGCACCAGCCUGAUUGUACAGGACCUGCGGGCGAAAGCGCAGGUUUAGUCACCCAAGGGAUAUGAGCUCUUCAUGGUUCACUGCUGGAUAUCAACAUACUUCAGGAAGCCACUGUUCAGUAAGAAUUAUCUUACACCCAACUGACUAUGCAAAACGCAGAUGAUUCUAACGGUCUUCCAAAAAUAAAAUAAAAGCUGGACAUGCUGUUUAUUCCAGCUGUCUAUUCCUUACAGGCAAAGCAUUUCAGAGUCGCUCCUCCCGAGGUGCUAAGACACACCUGCUGUGGUGUUUCCAUUGCCGGCUUGCUCCGACCCAAGUCACCAAUAUUUUACAGUGAAAUCACUUCAGAUGAACACCGUGAAAGCCAAUAAACA